rnacentral:rRNA from 1 species
AACGUAGGACACAAGCGUUAUCCGGAGUUACUGGGCGUAAAGGGCGUGUAGGCGGAUCAAUAAGUCUAUUCUGAAAGCUCCUGGCUAAACUGGGAGAGGCGAAUGGAGACUGUUGGUCUAGAGUGAGGAAGAGGAAAGUGGAAUUCCGCGUGUAGUGGUGAAAUGCGUAGAGAUGCGGAGGAACACCAGUGGCGAAAGCGGCUUUCUGGU